rnacentral:tRNA from 1 species
AAUAAUGUAGUUCAGUGGUAGAGCGUCUGCAAUUUGGCAGAAUGGCGGUGGUUCGAUUCCACCCUUUAUUGA